rnacentral:rRNA from 1 species
CCUACGGGAGGCAGCAGUGAGGAAUAUUGGUCAAUGGCCGUAAGGCUGAACCAGCCAAGCCGCGUGAAGGAAGAAGGAUCUAUGGUUUGUAAACUUCUUUUAUAGGGGAAUAAAGGUAUCCUCGUGUGGAUAUUUGCAUGUACCCUAUGAAUAAGCAUAGGCUAACUCCGUGCCAGCAGCCGCGGUAAUACGGUAGGUCCGGGCGUUAUCCGGAUUUAUUGGGGUGAAAGGGAGCGUAGGCCGCAUGUCAAGCGUGCGGUGAAAUGUCCGGGCGCAACCCGGGCCUUGCAGCGGGAACGGGCGUGCUUGAGUCCGCGGAAAGCAGGCGGAAUUCGGCGUGUAGCGGUGAAAUGCUUAGAUAUGACGAAGAACCCCGAUGGCGAAGGCAGCUUGCUGCAGCGGAACUGACGCUGAUGCUCGAAAGCGCGGGUAGCGAACAGGAUUAGAUACCCCGGUAGUC